AAAAAAAAAAAAGAAUACUAUUUAUUAUUUGAAUUGACCAGAAAAAAUCUUGAAACAAUUAUUAGAAUACUCUAUAAUGGGUUCUGCCUUUCUCCCCCUCAGGAUGGAUGUGGCUUUUAGCAGGAGAAUUAUUCAAAGAUUUUUUUAGGACACAGAAAUAUGGCAGAAGAGGACAGGAGCUGAGAGCACUGUUGUGUUAGGAGAGAUGUAACAUUAAUUGCCAUUAUUACAAUUUCACCAGCUUUUGCCUGUCAAAGAGCAGAAAUAGGUUUUCCCCGGCUGCUCUUUUUAAAAUUGUUCUUUUUAGAAGCAUGGGAGAGGGGGCUUAUUUUAUCUCAAGACCUAGACAAAGGAAGUGAGAUCUAACUAUUUUUGGCUCAGUUUCUUCAUUUAAAUCAGAUCAAAUAAUUUUAAUGACUUAGAAGAAGAUUCCAUUACCUGGGUGGUAAUUUCUCAAAUGCUGUUAUAUUUUAAGUCAUGAUUUUGAUUAAUGAUUCAUUACUAUUAAUAUCUGAAUGUGGACUAGGCUCGUUUUUUUUCCUUUCCUUUUGUAGAGAAGAUAAAAAUAUGCAGAAAUAAAUUACCAAUAUGCUCCAAAAUUUCGAUCACUUUUAUAAAAGAUCCACAUUCCAAGUUUAAAUAAUUACAAAUACAACUGUAAGAAAUUGCUAUUGAACUAGAGUAUAAAAAAUACCCAGAGUACAUAGAUGAGCGAAUAAAUCUUCAUUUAGGGUUGAGGUAGCAGCAGCUGUCUACCUCGUUUCUUGACCGUCUAUGUUCUUCCAACAUCCAAUUGUCAGAAUUUGAUGCAGUAAGUGAUUAAAGAAAUUUAUCAUGGGCCAGUUGUCCCUGGUCUCCGCAAUGUCCCCGUGUGCUCCUGGAAUUGGAAGACUUCCUAAUUCCUUAAAGUGAAAGGAUGUGAAUGGUGCUCCUGCUCUCCCUGACCAGCACCUCGUGCUUUGCAGUGGAGAAUCUGUCCUGAGACCCGAAAGAUAGUGGCCUCUGCAUUGUGCUGCCAGGGCAGCUGCUGUGCGCACUUGUCCGCAGCUGUAAACCUUCUGUCCUUCGUUGGUGCUUCCCCGGAUGCCCAGGUCUCUAUGGUCAUUGCUGCCUCUUUCUCCAUUUGCUUCCAGCUUUCUCCAGGUAGAGAAUAAGUAUUUUUAUUUACACAAAUGACCUAAGAUGUUUUCUCUGUCUGGAUUAAAAUGCACAUGCAAAAGAGACAUAUGAGAAAAGUACUAUCUUUUCCAGAUACCGCUGAUGUUAUAUUGGAUAUUAGGUGAAUACAAAACUCUUCAACCAAAGCCUUCAUCCCUUUAGUUAAGUCCAGAGCAGCCUGUCUGGGUUACAUGUAUGUCUGAGCUCAUGCAGCCAAAUAAGAAACACAUACUUGGUUAAAAUGUUUAAAGAGGUGAAGGAGAAGGGAAGACAAGCCCUCUGCUUGGAUAUUAUGAGAGGAGAAAACCAAGGCUCAAACACAGAUUUUUUUUUUUAAAGAAUUGAAUUGGACCCAGUGACAUCAACAGGAGGUGUCUGGGGGUAAAGAGAAUGGAAAGGGGAGAAAAAAAUCAAGACAACUCAAAUUUAAGUUAAAAUAGAAAGGAAGGUGGUCCAAAGCGAGGAAGGAGAAGUGGAGGGGACCAAGAAAUGGGAGAGAGACUCAGGGAGGCGAAGAAUAAGAAAAUAACAUUUUGAGCAGCCUUGGAACUCUCUGUAUAACUUCAGGAAGGGAGAGUUUGUAAAACCAGGUCCUACUGGUUUUGUUGUAUGUCUUAUGCAUGAUUUUUUAACACUAAAAUAAAAACGUUUGGCAGACAGGAUAGAAUCAACAUGGCAGUUUAUGUCCCUGUUGUCAUGAACAUCGGGGGCUUUUGAGAAGCAUUUGAGAACGUUGGCAACUUUAUGUUAAUUCAUGUUUGUUCUGCCCCUCCAUGCCUUAAUCUUUCUGUUACUCUCUCUCUGUUCUUCCUUACUCUCUCUCUGUUCUUCCUUACUCUCUCUCUGUUCUUCCUUACUCUCUCUCUGUUCUUCCUUACUCUCUCUCUGUUCUUCCUUACUCUCUCUCUGUUCUUCCUUAUUCACCAAACCCAUCCAAGGCAUUCAGGCAUAUUAAUUACUUCCUGAAAUACGUGGCUCAAGUGUUUGUUCCACCAGCAGUGGAACAAACCAGCACGUCCACAUUGUCCUUUGAGAAUGAGAAGUCAUUCUGGGGCACUGCUCUUCCCACGCUCCGGGCCCACACACACAGCCCCACUCCAUCAAAGGAGCCCUGCUGCCUGCCCACCCACCCGGGGUGCUUUCUGGCUUGCAGUCCUCUUGGCAGACAUGAGGCAACGGUUGCUCCUGUUCUUCACCAGCCUUCUCCUUGUGGCUCUGCUGUUUCCAGGAUUGUCCCAAGCCAGACAUGUUAACCACUCAGCCACCGAGGCUCUCAGAGAACUCCGGGAAGGAGCCACUGGGCAAGGCACAAAGGGGUCUCAGCUGCUACGCCACCCAGUGAAACGGGCCCUCAUAAUACGGCGCAUCCCCCCUUACCCAGAAGUUGAAUCAGAUUUAAGAAUUGUCGACUGCAAGAGAAGUGAAGGCUUCUGUCAAGAAUACUGUAAUUAUCUGGAAACGCAAGCAAAGACAUUCUGUUGUAGACUUAAGUUGCACCCAGAAACUCACAGAUUUAACAUAAGAAAGCGCUUCCUGGGCAGUGAGAUGAUAAGACUCCUUGUUUGUAUAGUGAAUUAUCCAUGAAAUAGUUCCUUGGGGAUUGCUUUCUGGAUCUGUGAUUUGGAAAUGGAUUCAAGUCUGGAGGAGAAGUGCACAUCUCUCACCAGGAGGCUCGAGGACCGUGAUUUAAGAGCUGCAUGGGCUUUUUAGGGCCUAGAUGGGCCAGGUGAGCAUGCAUACAACGCACCCUAUCAUCCUCCUGGCAACGUAUCAGAUAUAAAUUAUCGUUCCUGUUUUAAAGCUAAGAAGCCAAAGUUCAGUUACACUGGGACUUGUCCAAAAGUACUUAGCAUUGUCAGAAUACAGUAACCCUUGGCUGUGGGCUGGGGUCAUCUCCUAUUCUCUGCACUAUAUGAGUUAAAUGUCAACUC